rnacentral:rRNA from 1 species
GUGCCCUACGGGGGGCAGCAGUCGGGAAUAUUGCGCAAUGGAGGAAACUCUGACGCAGUGACGCCGCGUAUAGGAAGAAGGUUUUCGGAUUGUAAACUAUUGUCGUGAGGGAAGAAAUUGUCAGUACCUCAGGAGGAAGCUCCGGCUAACUACGUGCCAGCAGCCGCGGUAAUACGUAGGUGGCAAGCGUUGUCCGGAUUUAUUGGGCGUAAAGCGAGUGCAGGCGGUUCAAUAAGUCU